rnacentral:rRNA from 1 species
GACGAACGCUGGCGGCAGGCUUAACACAUGCAAGUCGAACGGGCGUAGCAAUACGUCAGUGGCAGACGGGUGAGUAACACGUGGGAACCUUCCUCGUAGUACGGGACAACUCAGGGAAACUUGAGCUAAUACCGUAUACGUCCGAGAGGAGAAAGAUUUAUCGCUAUGAGACGGGCCCGCGUCCGAUUAGGUAGUUGGUGGGGUAACGGCCUACCAAGCCGACGAUCGGUAGCUGAUCUGAGAGGAUGAUCAGCCACACUGGGACUGAGACACGGCCCAGACUCCUACGGGAGGCAGCAGUGGAGAACCUUGGACAAUGGGCGCAAGCCUGAUCCAGCCAUGCCGCGUGAGUGAUGAAGGCCCUAGGGUUGUAAAGCUCUUUCGCCAGGGACGAUAAUGACGGUACCUGGAUAAGAAGCCCCGGCUAACUUCGUGCCAGCAGCCGCAGUAAGAC